CAAGGAUUGAUCAUAAACUCCAGUGGAGACACCUUUUCCCUGUGAUAACUCUUCCUGGAGUGAAUUUCCCUUCCUAGGGUUUCUGGAAGUUUCAACCUGCCAAUGGAAGGACAGCAAAGAUGGGGCCAUUUCCACUUCUCUAGGAACACAGUUCCAGACGUUAGAACAACCAUCAA
rnacentral:lncRNA from 11 species